rnacentral:rRNA from 1 species
UACAGAGGUCUCAAGCGUUGUUCGGAUUCAUUGGGCGUAAAGGGUGCGUAGGCGGCGCGGUAAGCCGGGUGUGAAAUCUCGGGGCUUAACUCCGAAACUGCAUUCGAUACUGCGGUGCUUGAGGACUGGAGAGGAGACUGGAAUUCAUGGUGUAGCAGUGAAAUGCGUAGAGAUCAUGAGGAAGACCAGUGGCGAAGGCGGGUCUCUGGACAGUUCCUGACACUGAGGCACGAAGGCCAGGGGAGCAAACGGG